GGGCCCGCACAAGCGGUGGAGCAUGUGGCUUAAUUCGAGGCAACGCGAAGAACCUUACCCCGGGGUUUGACAUUGAGCGCCGAUCCCCUGAAAGGGGAUUUUCCUUCGGGACGCAAAAACAGGUGCUGCAUGGCUGUCGUCAGCUCGUGCUGUGAAGUGUUCGGUUAAGUCCGGCAACGAGCGCAACCCAUACCCUUACUUGCUAACAGGUAAUGCUGAGAACCUUAAGGGGACUGCCCGUGUUAAGCGGGAGGAAGGUGUGGACGACGUCAAGUCAGUAUGGCCCUUACACCGGGGCUGCACACGUGCUACAAUGGCCGGUACAAAGGGCAGCGACGAUAGUGAUAUG
rnacentral:rRNA from 1 species